AACGAACGCUGGCGGCAGGCUUAACACAUGCAAGUCGAACGCGUGCAGCAAUGCACGAGUGGCGCACGGGUGAGUAACGAGUGGAUAUCUGCCUUUUGGUUCGGAAUAACCCCGGGAAACUGGGGCUAAUACCGGAUGGUUCCUACGAGAUAAAGAUUUAUCGCCAAAAGAUGCGUCCGCGUCCGAUUAGCUAGUUGGUGAGGUAAUGGCUCACCAAGGCGACGAUCGGUAGCUGGUCUGAGAGGACGAUCAGCCACACUGGGACUGAGACACGGCCCAGACUCCUACGGGAGGCAGCAGUGGGGAAUAUUGGACAAUGGGGGCAACCCUGAUCCAGCCAUGCCGCGUGAGUGAUGAAGGCCUUCGGGUUGUAAAGCUCUUUUGGCGGGGACGAUGAUGACGGUACCCGCAGAAUAAGCCCCGGCUAACUUCGUG
rnacentral:rRNA from 1 species